CCGGCGUGGCUGGGGCCGCUGCUCGGCGCGGAGUUCUUCAAGAGGUGCGCCGAUCACCCCUAUCAGGUCAAGAACGAGUGCAACCAUUACUGCCUGGACUGCGCGGGCGAGGACGACGCCGUCUCCUGCACCCUGUGCGUCUCCGGCCACCGCAACCACCACGUCGUCCAGAUACGGAAGUCGUCGUACCGCGAAGUGAUCCGGGUGGCGGAGCUGAAGGCGGUGGCUGACAUCUCCCUGGUGCAGACGUACGUCAUCAACUACGAUAGGGUGGUGUUUCUGAACCGGCGGCCGCAGGCGCCGCAGCACAGCGUCAAGUGCGUCGGCCCUGCCGGGGCGUGCCGGGAGUGCGGCCGGGGACUCGUGGACGCCAACUUCCGUUUCUGCUCACUGAGCUGCAAGCUUGAUGGAAUGGUGUCGGAUCCCCAUUUGACAUUCAUGAUUGAUCCGAGGCGCAGCCGGGGAAAUUUAGGCUCAAACACAAAAGAUGAAGGCGAGGCCGAUGAUCUGCCGGGACCUAGCGACCCUCCGCCGCGAUGGAUCAGCUACCGCCGCCGGCGCCGCAAGGGUGUCCCUGAACGGGCACCCUUGUAUUGA
rnacentral:rRNA from 1 species